GCCGGUGGAUGCCUACCUCCCCGACUCGAUGAAGGACGUCGUGAAUAUUGACAAAGA
rnacentral:rRNA from 1 species